CUGGUCUCAGAAGGAUUUUCUCAUUUUCUGCCCUUUCUGUUUGGCCGGCAGGGGAAAUGAUCCUGGUCUCCGUUUUGGAAAGAUCUUCAUUAACCUCCGUUGGUCUUGGGAACUGCGCUGCAGCCCUGCAGGUAAGAUGUGUCAAUUCCACACUCUUUAUCACUCCCAGCCCAAACAACCAAGGGCUGCAUGUGUGUCUGACCCUGACAGUGGGGGUUAAGGUGACGGGAUCUCAGAAGUCAGAACUGGAGACUGCAAGGGCCUCUCUGUACAUUGAUAAGCAGGGUACAGCUCGCUGUUUGUAGGUUGCUUUAGUUCAGUGUGGUUUUGUUCCAAUGUCCAAGCCUUGCCGAGACUCUUUCCCCAUUGCAUGUCUCCGGGAGCUGCUGAGUGUUGCAAUGCGAUAGCCUUCACCCCCCAUUGCAGCCAGGGCGUUGCUCUAAUCCCAAAUUGCAACAGGGCCCCCCACACACACUCCAAAUGUCCCAGUUUAGGGACGCCCUUUGUAUUCUUUGCUUGAACCAGAGCCAUCUUUCCCAUAGGGCUUAGUGGUGCAUCGCGCCAGGGUGCCGGCCUUUCAGGGGCACCCAGCGAGUGGGGGAGCUGCGCGGCUUUGCCAGUGGCCUCCCCUUUCCCUCCAUGCCCACCAUCUGCACCCCAUCAACCAUAUGGCUGGCGGGCGUGCAUCUUCCUUCCCAAGCCUCCAUGGGAGGAGAGCGAUCCCUGCAGAGAGCCAGUGUGGUGUAGUGGUUAAGAGCGGUAGUCUCGUAAUCUGGUGAACCGGGUUCGCUUCCCCGCUCCUCCACCUGCAGCUGCUGGGUGACCUUGGGCCAGUCACACUUCUCUGAAGUCUCUCAGCCCCGCUCACCUCACAGAGUGUUUGUUGUGGGGGAGGAAGGGAAAGGAGAAUGUUAGCCGCUUUGAGACUCCUUAGGGUAGUGAUAAAGCGGGAUAUCAAAUCCAAACUCUUCCUCCUCUUCUUAGGAUGGAAGCUGCGCCCCGCCAACCAAAUGGCUGGCCGGCACGCAGCUUCCCUCCCAAGCCUCUGCGGGGAUCGCUCUCCCGCAGCAGCAUGGAGGAGAGUUGCCUCCCCCACGGCUGGCAGUGCGCAGCUUCACCCCUCCCAUCCAUGGUAAUUUGGGGGCGCUGGGCAGAUAUUUGCACCCUGGCGCCACAUCUGCUAAAGAUGGCCCUGGCUGGAACCUAAAUCGCAACAGGUGACUCCUAUGUGCUUCAAAUCUCCCAUCUUACCAGGGAAACACACUGUUUUCUGUGCCUGGCAACAGGCGACUCUCAUGUCCUCUUGGGUUUCAUGUUACAGAGGCAAGGGAACACUGAGUGUGGUCAGAUAUGCACUCUGGGCUUUAAGAAGGCCAGUUUUGAAAAAGCUUAAGGAACUACAGUGGUACCUCGGGUUACAUACGCUUCAGGUUACAGACUCCGCUAACCCAGAAAUAGUACCUCAGGUUAAGAAGUUUACCUCAGGAUGAAAACAGAAAUUGCACGGCGGCUGCGCAGUAGCAUCGUGAGACCCCAUUAGCUAAAGUGGUGCUUCAGGUUAAGAACAGUUUCAGGUUAAGAACGGACCUCCAGAACGAAUUAAGUACGUAACCCGAGGUACCACUGUACAGGGUGAGAACCCAUGGUCAGAAAUACUCAAAAGAGAAGGGAGCCCAAGAUGGAGGGGAGUUUCUUAAAGGUGAAGUCACAAAUGCAGACAAUUCCAACAAGAAAUAAAAUUGGGAGGCACCUAAAGAAAACAGUGUGGCUGCAUAAGGAGCUUACAGACUGGCUGAGAUUUAAGAAGGGGGUGUCUGCCCCACCCCCAUGCCCCACCACUGCCCAACCAUGAAAAUCUGAGCUAUAAACAUGAUUAUGGACUAAUGUAAUUUUAUGGAGUGGGGAGAAGUUUUCUUGGAAGAGUGUCAUAACACCUGUUUGCCUUCGUACCAUUGCUUAUUUCCUGCAAGUUCCUGUUCCUUUGCUAGGGACGGGGAAGAAAUUUAGUUUGCAUUUAAAAGCAAACCUGCUUAAGUCGUACUUUUUGACACAAGAUGCGAACCGCAAUGCAGCCCCUCUUCGAAAUCCGCACUCCUCUGAAAUUUUGCAGCGCAGUUCUCCAGCCGAGUAAUGCAUAUGAAGAUGAAUACGUUAGGAGAAAACAUGCAUGUAUUAGUUGAUUUUUUAAAAAAAAUCUUAAUGAAUAUAACCUACAAAAUGCCAUAUAUUAUGCAAAAAUGACUUUGCUAAAAAGGGGGGGGAGUGUUUAUCGGGCACAAUGGAACUCAAGGUACUUAUGAAUUUUCAUGAGGAUUUUUUAAUUGCAAAUUUAUAGGUGUUGAUGUUUAUUCUUCCAGGCUCCAAGUACAAGUCCCUUGGCUGCCAUAAAGGCACGCAAAAUCCUUUUUCGUUCUUCUGCCAUUAAUCCCCACCCUACAGGAAUAUAAAUUAAAAGUACAGCAAGUAAAAAGGAUCUCACUGGUACAAAAUUGAUACGACUUCAUGAGGACUUAAAGAAAAAUUAAUGAAUGUGAUGGGAAACUAGGACUAGGACAAAAAUGGGAAAUCGAUAAGGGCAGGUCUACUUGACCUGAUGCAAAUGUUUGUGCAUGAAUACCAAAACACUGCAGGGCCAACAGCUUCCCACAUCACAACCUGGAGAGGUAGCAGUCCCCUUCGUUUAAAUGUACAAACUCACAUCUUUAUAUGAGAUUCCUGGAGUCCUCCUUCACGCAGCAGAGAGUUAAACUAUGGAACUCACUCCCACAGGAGGCAGUGAUACAGUGGCGUUGCAAGGUGGGGGCGGGGGGGCGGUGUGCCCCAGGUUCCAUAUUUGGGAGGGUGACAGGUAGGCACCCCGCGGCGUGCUUGCUCUGCCGCCCGGGUGUGGCGGCGCGAGCAGCCACCACGCCACCGCAGCCGCAUGUGAAGGACCCUCCGUUCACGGCUGCAGCCACGAGCAGAG